rnacentral:rRNA from 1 species
GACGAACGCUGGCGGCGUGCUUAACACAUGCAAGUCGAACGGAAAGGCCCUGCUUUUGUGGGGUGCUCGAGUGGCGAACGGGUGAGUAACAAGUGAGUAACCUGCCCUUGACUUUGGGAUAACUUCAGGAAACUGGGGCUAAUACCGGAUAGGAGCUCCUGCUGCCUGGUGGGGGUUGGAAAGUUUCGGCGGUUGGGGAUGGACUCGCGGCUUAUCAGCUUGUUGGUGGGGUAGUGGCUUACCAAGGCUUUGACGGGUAGCCGGCCUGAGAGGGUGACCGGCCACAUUGGGACUGAGAUACGGCCCAGACUCCUACGGGAGGCAGCAGUGGGGAAUAUUGCACAAUGGGCGGAAGCCUGAUGCAGCAACGCCGCGUGCGGGAUGACGGCCUUCGGGUUGUAAACCGCUUUCGCCUGUGACGAAGCGUGAGUGACGGUAAUGGGUAAAGAAGCACCGGCUAACUACGUG